rnacentral:rRNA from 1 species
UGCCAGCCGCCGCGGUAAGACGUAGGAUGCAAGCGUUGUCCGGAUUUACUGGGUGUAAAGGGCGCGCAGGCGGAUUUGUCAGUCAGGGGUGAAAUCCUACAGCUUAACUGUAGAACUGCCUUUGAUACUGCAAAUCUUGAGUUCGGAAGGGAGAGGCGGAAUUCCAGGUGUAGUGGUGAAAUACGUAGAUAUCUGGAAGAACACCAGAGGCGAAGGCGGUCUCUUGGUCCGAAACUGACGCUGAGGCGCGAAAGCGUGGGGUGCAAACAGGAUUAGAUA